GGGCAGAGGGAGCGGCGACUUGGAGGGAAGGGGAGUUUGAACAGGAAGGGAAGGAGGUAACUCAGACAGCCUCCAUGUCUCGUGGACACGGGCAGAGCGUCGCGGCGCCUUUCUAGAAGGCAGGAGUCCGGUGCCCUUCCCUGAACGCAGGGACUCCAGAUACCGCCGUGGCGUACAGUACCUUACUUUGUAGACCUGGUUUUAUGGUGAUGGAGUGUGCCACCAGAUCUGGUGUCACUUUCGCGAAUUAGGAACCAAGCAUGCGAUGUAAGGGGCAUAAGGUACACCGAGGAGUGAAUCAGUCUGCAUCUUGGGACUGGCCGGCAGCGGAGCCUCGGAGACCGGCUCCCCAGCGCGGUAAACAGGUGCACGUUGGCUGCACCUCCACGGGCUCGGCCCCUGUCUCCGUUCCGGUUAGUGGGAUGAUGCUGGCAGUGACUCACUUUCCUCUCCCUCUCUGGAGGCUCUCUCCCGAAUGAAGAGCCAGUGAUAGGCUACUUCCUCUAGAGCCUGGUCCGGUGGGGCGGGAGAACAAAAGGCCACUGCUUGCGCAGGACCCUUGCGCCCUGGUCUCCCCUCCCCCGCACCUGGCCCCAAACGUUGCGGCAAAACGCUUAUAAACUGGUCCGCUCCACGCGAGGAGGAAAACGCGCGGAGAUCUCUUGUAGCCCGUCUUCAUCUCUCCCAACCCCCGCGACAGCCCGGCUCCGGGUGCGGGACUGCUCCGCACCCUCGCGAACAGCGCGCGGAUCCCGGUGCAUCGCCCGCCGCUGGGUUUCGGCCCAACUGUGCUCGCACUAGACUCGAGUGCAUAUGGCGGCAAAAGGAAUUUCGCGGUAAGCGCGUCACGCCGCGAACUGCCUUUCACAAGCUGCCUCGGGCCGAGGAAGGUGGCGCUUACUCCAGCCCUUUGUGUCUCGCUCUGCGGCGUGGACCCGGGUUCUCACCAGCCUGUUCCAUCGGUGGGAAGCACACUGGCUUGGGGAUCGCGUACUUGUCUCAGACGUUUAGACGGUGUCGUACGUGGAAGAGAGGAAAGGACCCACUGCUAGAAAACGGGGUCUCAGGCAUCUGUAUUUGCUGCUGUCUGCUACUAAAGAGCCUCAGAACGGAAGAAAUUUGGGUUGACUUUUGACUGCGGACACCGAAUAUGAUGCAUUUCAAAAGUGGCCUCGAGCUAACGGAGCUGCAGAACAUGACGGUGCCCGAAGAUGACAACGUCAGCAACGACUCUAAUGACUUCACAGAAGUAGAAAACGGCCAGAUAAAUAGCAAGUUCAUCUCAGAUCGGGAGAGUAGGAGGAGUCUCACAAACAGCCAUCUGGAGAAAAGGAAAUGCGACGAGUAUAUUCCAGGAACAACCUCCCUGGGAAUGUCUGUCUUUAACCUGAGCAACGCCAUCAUGGGCAGUGGAAUCUUGGGCCUUGCCUUCGCCUUGGCCAACACCGGGAUCCUCCUCUUUCUGAUACUUCUGACUUCGGUGACACUGCUGUCUAUAUAUUCAAUAAACCUACUGCUGAUCUGUUCCAAGGAAACCGGCUGCAUGGUGUAUGAGAAGCUGGGAGAGCAAGUCUUCGGCACCACGGGGAAGCUGGUGAUCUUCGGAGCCACCUCUCUGCAGAACACUGGGGCGAUGCUGAGCUACCUCUUCAUAGUAAAAAACGAACUUCCUUCAGCCAUAAAAUCCCUCAUGGGAGAGGAGGAUGCAUUUUCAGCCUGGUACGUCGAUGGCCGAGUGUUGGUGGUGAUGGUGACCUUUGGCAUAAUCCUUCCGCUGUGUCUCUUGAAGAACCUGGGGUAUCUUGGCUACACGAGUGGGUUUUCCCUAAGCUGCAUGAUGUUUUUCCUAAUAGUGGUCAUCUACAAGAAAUUUCAGACUCCCUGCAUGAGUGUGGAGCAGAACUCGACAGUCAGUGCUAAUGUGACCGACGCGUGCACACCAAAGUAUGUCACCUUCAACUCAAAGACGGUGUAUGCUUUACCAACCAUCGCCUUCGCGUUUGUCUGCCACCCGUCCGUCCUGCCAAUCUACAGCGAGCUCAAAGACCGGUCACAGAAGAAAAUGCAGAUGGUUUCCAACAUCUCCUUCUUUGCUAUGUUUGUCAUGUACUUCCUGACGGCCAUCUUUGGGUACUUGACGUUUUAUGGUAAGUUACUUCCGCUGGCCAUGCCUAUCUGUACUUAAGAACAACGGGAAAACGCAACACUGAAGUAACUUUCCAUUGAAGCCAAAGAGUAAACAAAAGAUCCAUGUUUUCUGUUCUGGUUUUGUGUUUUGUUUUUCCUUAUAGCAAAUGACAAUGGUUUCUUCCAUGUUCGUUCAAGCUGUAUAGCAUAAUGAUUACUGAAAAUAAUAGAAAUGCUUUUUUCCCCCCUCUGGAGCUUUGUUCUUCAGAGAAAUUGCAUUUUAGAAGCAUGCCAUCUUAGGGAAAUUUAAAAUGACAUCAGAGAAGGCUUUUCCUACUUGACACUGCAAACUGGGUCAGACUCCAUUAAUAGAAAAGAGAGAGAGAAAGUGAGACACUCUGAAAGUGAGAAAGAGCGGAGCCCACACUCAUGACAAUCAACGUUAAUUAAAAAUAAAGCACCUAAUUGUUCGCCGGAACUUGGUGCCCCGCAGGGAAGCAAAGCGAUGACAUAAGGAAGAAGCAAAAGUUGAGAGAGAAAGUGCUUCCUGUUCGUGCCGCAGGCCCUGUCAGGAUGGCAGCUGGCCUUUCCUGCCAGGGGCUUCUCACCCACGGCCUUGUGGUUUUGAGAGCUAUUUAAAUAGAUUCUAUUAUCCUUUCUAUCGAAUGCUUCCCCUCACCAUGGAGUAAUCUAAAAUUUAAACAGGUUUACAGGUUCCUUUAGCCUGGAGAAGGUCAUUGAUUUCAGAAGCGUCUGGAUAGCACUGCCAAAUGAGUUGGUAACCAUCGCCUUUCCUGUUUUUAUAAAAAUGCCGUUCUGGGGUUUCCUGUACCUCAGGGCUGAGUGGGGAGGGUAGAAGAGAGAGCUAGCAUCUGCAGCCUGAGUGACCUUGUUCAAGUUAUGAGUACAUUUUUUUUCAACGGGAGCAGAACCUUGGUCCGUUUAUAUGGUUAGAGGGGGAAUCCCAGCUAUUUAUAGGUGGCUAAUGCCUUUUGAUGUGGAGAGCCGUGAGCAAUUGCCAUCAUGAGCCUCCGCUGUGCCUAACUGGUAAACAAGUAAUGUGCGCAGGUGCAAGAGUAAAUUCGUGCCAAGUUACUGCCCAUCCCAGGGCGUAGUAGUGGGGUAAUGAGUGAGCAGCUAAUCAGGAGCUGACAUGUCACAUGGACGAGUAUAUAAGCAGCAACAUUUUCCUUGUUCGUGGUUAUUCUUCUUUCGCCUAUGCAAUCAAUGCUCUCCCAAUAAACGUGUGCAGAAGGAUCCUGUAGCAGCAUCGUUCUUCCUGGCCAGUAGAACGCUUGUAAGAGUUGGUGCCGAAACCCGGGACGAGAAGACCUGGGACGAGAAACCCGGGACGAAAAGACCUGGGACGAGAAAACCUGGGACGAGAAAACCCGGGACAGGACGGUUACCAUCACUGGCGCAGGGAAGAUCCCUCAUUCCGGAACCAGAACUGCGGGUCAUGGUAAUGAAGUGUUCCCGUAAAACAGACUGUUGAGAAGGAUCCAGCGUGGAUUCAGAACUCUUCAGCUGGGGAAUGGUGGUAAUGAAGUGUUCCCGCAACACAGACUGUUGAGAAGGAUUCAACUUCGUGGAUUCAGAACUCUUCAGCUGGGGAACAGGGGUACCCGUAAGUAAAAGGAAAUUAAUGUGAGUCUCUGAGAGGUAUGCUUUCUUACGCAGUAGGUCCGGUACUUGUUGUUAGGGUGGUGUUGCUUGCUUUCUUUCUUAGCCUUGAUAUUAUGCUAUUGCCUUAAUUUUUCAUCACCCUGGACACGAGUGUAUCUGCUGGGGGUAGCUCGGUAGACACAUAAGAUCAUAAAGCAAGUGUAGAUAAACUUGUGGAUCGACCUUGGGGCUAAGAACCUCACAUAGAUAAGUGAGUACCUCAAGGAUGCUUUAUCCAGGACAAGAAAUGUGAGCUAGCUGUUAAGGAAGGGCAAUGACUUUUGCAGGAGCACCAGGGAAGCAUAUCAGAAACAGAGAGAAAGGAAAAAGAAGGCACGUGCAGAAAAAUAAGUAAGAAUUAUAUAUUUAAAAAAAUGAAAAUAAGGUAUUUCAGAGCUCUCCUAGGGACAGAAGAAAAACGGGAGACGUCCUGCUCUGGCUCCUAUGGAGAUAUUUUUAGCUUUGGAUAUUUGUGUCUCUUUGAGACCCCAAGUUUUAUUCCCUGUCUGGCUAUUGUCUGUUUUUGGUGUAUGAUUAUUGUUUUGUGUUUUAUGUUGAAAAAUAUAACUGGUUACGGACCUUCUGUUCGGGGAUUUGGAGAGAGAUUAGAUUCUCCUUGCUGGGAUGUCCUAUUUUCACUGAUCAAGCUGAAUUUGCAUGGGAUAGAGAUAUGCUGCUUGAUCAAGGUUGAUUUGCACAACAACAGACAGGAUAUCCAGUGCAGGUAUUUGAGCAGGUGAAUCAGAUUGCCAUAAGGGUGUGGAAAUCAUUGCCCACCGGUGUUGACAGUGUUGUAGAACUCCAGAGAGACAAUGAGGCACUGAAUCAGGUGAGAGAGGAGCGCUCUCAAUUGGUUUGGGAGAGAGGGUCUGUUUGUGUUUCCUCAGGAUCAUUGACAACAGCUGCAGGUCCCGGAGAGGCUGACCAGAGCAAUUCAGGGCAGGUGGAGCUGUGAGGACGUGGAUGUUCCUGUGGCUGGAGGUGCUCCCGCUAGUGAAAACUGAAGAGCUCCGUGUUCCUGAAACCUAUGCCGUUGACGAAUUCGGAAAAGGUGCAGUCAGAUCUCCUUCACAAGUACCAGAGCACAGGCGACAUUCUCAUCCUAACCGUGCGGCUGGCCGUCAUCGUGGCCGUCAUCCUCACCGUGCCUGUGCUGUUUUUCACAGUUCGAUCAUCGUUAUUUGAGCUGGCCAAGAAGACAAAGUUCCACCUGUGCCGCCAUGUCUUGGUGACCAUCAUACUCUUGAUCAUUAUCAACCUGUUGGUGAUCUUCAUCCCCUCCAUGAAGGAUAUCUUUGGAGUCGUAGGAGUCACGUCUGCUAAUAUGCUCAUUUUCAUUCUUCCUUCGUCUCUUUAUUUAAAAAUCACGAACCAGGACGGAGAUAAAGGCACUCAAAGAAUUUGGGCGGCCCUUUUCUUGGGCUUGGGGGUGUUGUUCUCCUUGAUCAGCAUCCCUCUGGUCAUCUACGACUGGGCUUGCUCCUCUGGCACCGACGAAGGCCACUGAAGCCCGCAGCCACACCCAGCAUCCGCCCACACCCAUCCAGCCCCCAUCAGCAGCCCACCGCCACUUCUUUUGCAAGUUUACAGAAACAGAAACGCACAGGGUUCCUCUCGGGUUGCCACACAGAGACUCACUGCUUCUAGAAGGACCCGCGUCCUCUCGGGACCUACACUUUGGGACCGUGGAUUUCUGCUUCUCCAGAUUUCGUGCCGCCAUCUUGUCCAGCCCUUCCCACAGUUCUCCUCCCGUCUCCUCAUUGUUGUGGCUUCUCUCUCUCUCCCUCUCAGAACUAUGGAAACACGAUCAACAGUUGUCUUCACUUGUUAGAUACCCAGCUCCUGAAAUCGUUUUCCUAACUGACGCUCCGCUCACGCUGUCUGCAUCUUUUUAGAAGAAGAGAAAAUAAUCUUGAAUUGUAUAUAUUUAUUUUGCUUUACAGAAAAAAAAUAAGGUUUCAGAAAAAAAAAAAGGUUUCAUAAAUAAUUUGCCUAUUUUGGUUAACAUAGCACACAGGGAUAAUCCUUUUGAGAGACAGGUUGCGUGCCAUGGCUGCAUCUGAGCAUGCCCAAUAUUUGAGGCAGCUCUGAUCACCCGACAUGGACUGUCCGAGGGCUGCUGGUACUCCAUCCUGCUCCCAUGUGGAGCGAUUCCCUGGGAGGCUUGGGCACGGCGCCUCUGUAUAUAUAUAUUAAUUAUAUAUUAAAACAAACACUCCGGAGAUCUCAGGAACAAUGGUUUGUUUCCCUCUUGGCAUCUGGCAUCACAGUUACUCUAGGCUGAGUCACCUGCCUGAGGUCCCUUGGUUCCCAUGAUGACAAAUGAGACUGCCCAAAUGCCUAAGGACGUACUCCUUAGCCAGACCACCUUCAGCCCACACCCGUAUUGUUGAAGGGGGAAAUGAUUUGUUAGUUUAUAAGCCCGGCAGCAUCGAGUCAUGUCCACCAGCUUUCUGCAACAGAGAUGAACAUGUACCUAAGGACGGCCUGGGAUAGGUCAGCCUGUUUUAUACUGGGUACUUUACUUUAAUGGAGUCUUUGAAAGACUUGUUUUAUAUCUAUAAAUCUAGGUUACUACAAAUAGGAGAUUUUUGUACCUUAAAUAAGCCUCAUUUCUAGUCUCCAUCAACUCUCCAUCCAGUCCUGAAAGUAAGUCUGCCCCGAGAGAGGACCGCUGAAGUCACUGUGUGUCCCCUCUUGCCUCAGCUGGGGACGGCAGGAGGACCCUUCCUGCCUGUGAUUGUUUUUUCCCUUUUGUCCCAUUAUGCCUGUCCCAUGUGACCCAGGCAAGAGGGCAGAGUUGCCCAUCCUCUCGCCAGUCCCUCCUAAGGGGAGCAGAGGGGAAACUUCAAGGAGACUGAAAACUGUUUCAGAGAUGGCAGCUCAGCAUGCCGUAAUGAUGGGGAUAUCUGUGGAUGCCCAUAGCUAAGCUACAGUAGGUGAGGCGCGCGCGCGCACGGUGACCGCUCUCUGCAAAAGGCCUGAAUUGCAGCCAGUUGUAUCCUGGUUGAAAGUCUCAGAUCCAAAUACUCACUGAGCACAGAUUUCUCAUCUGGGGGUGAGUAGAAGCUAACAGAGGAGGCCCAGACACUUAGCUAUAGACGCUAUACCUCCCGUCUGACACCCCCCAGAGGUUUUUCAGGAAUCUCACGAGAGUCACGCAGAGAUGUCCCUUACCACACUGAAGUCCCCGCAGACAGGGUUAGGCAUCAAAGUACCUGCCACCAUGCUCCUGGGGAAGAAAGAAAAUCUGUUUUCUGCAUUGCUUCGCUUGUUCUCAUACUGCUCCAGAGUUCUGUCCUCCUCGUUCAGGCAGCUGACCACAGGUCCUAGACAGGAAAAAGGGUAAAAACCCACAGCCGCCUCUACCCUUUGCCCUAACGCCUCCCAUGUCACAAGAAAUGACCACCUUUGUAGCUCUGUUUGUACUGUUUAAAAAAUACAUCAGUUUAGUUUGCAAGCUGCACCCCCCCCCCUUGCUGGUGUCCCCCUUAUCCUGUAACAGUUCAGUUUUACAUUUGCAAAGUGAAUCCAAAAACGCACUAACUCUGGGAUGUGUUGCGAUUUUUGUUUGUUUGUUUGGACCUCUGGAUUUUGUGUUGGUAAAACUAAUGUAUUAUUUGCAGCAUAUUUAUUUGCAGGAAGCACAUUGCUGUUGAUCUCUGUGAUAUGUGGGUUUCUUUUUUUUUUUAAACCCUCUUUGUGUACCUGAGUUUGUUUGAAUAUAAGGGAUCUUACUGUCAUUUGUUAGGUACCACUGAGUAAUUCCAUAGUUUCUGUGGUAAUUCACUGUAGAGUGGACUGUUCUCGCUCUCGUUCAGAAUAACUGGCAGCCAAAACAUUACCUGUAUCACAGAUGUUAAGUAGCACUCAACAGCACAGUCAAAUGUAACAGGUACUUUUCUGCUAAAUUAGUAGACUCAAGCAUAGUAGGCCUUCGCCGAGGGAAACCGAGUUUCCCUUCAGCACACAGGCUCUCCACACUGUUGACCCAGGGCCAGUUUCAUACUUUGGGUUUAGCACUGUUCUCUGGUUCUUGUAACACAGAAUACUGUAGAUUCCUAGAUUAGUGUUGCUUGUUAGAAGUAGAGUUUGCAGAGUGUGUGCAGGUAAGAAAACCUACUCUUUUAGGCCUGGACUAGGCCUGGUCACAGGGAGACCAUAUUCCAAAGCUCUGUAACCCGGAAUGGAUUUUUCUUCAUUGGAUUAGAUGUGGGGGUUAGGCCCCCAGGCAGCUGGAAAAGAAUGUGGAGCUGUAAUGGAGUGACAGGACUGUGGAAGAGCCAAGUUCCCAGAGAGACUGGAGGUGGGGUAUGUUGGAAUCACUAGGAAUACCCCCACUGCAUCUCUGCCACGGGUCACCUGCUGGGUAGUGGGGUCAGGGCUCCACCACAGUGGCCUGUAGCAAAGCCCCCCCCCCCAAGACUAGAGAGGCUAAGUUCAAAACCCUGAGUGUAGGUGGUGGUCAAAGAAGAGGAGUUCUUAGGGCUCCCCUCCUUGCCUGCAGUUUUAACUUUAUAGCUCUCCCAGGUACCAGCUUUGGGGCCAGCACACGGCACUCUCAUUGUCUCCCGUGCUGGUAACCAUGGCUUCACUGCUUGGUGAUCAGGUGAAAAGUACAAAGGCUCUCGCUCCUUCCUGAGUACUUAUGGACCCUGCUGAGGGACAUAAGGGCGUCAGGGUGGCUUGCAGAGGACUAAGGUCUGUGGUGGGAUGCCUCACUAUAACAAUAAUUAUGCCAAGCAUUCAAGCCCUCAAGCUGGUGUUUCUCAAACUGUGCACCCUCAAGGCAGCAGCAUGAACCUCAUCUACAGACUUAACCAGCAAAGUGUCAGCCUCACCAGACUCAGUGGAUAAAUCGAGCUGUCCUCAGCAAGUCUCAGGUCUAGCCUCCAGGUGAGACCUGUGAUUUCAAGCUUGGGUACCACUCUAAGCUUUCUCCGGUCAGCCCAUCCUCGGAAGGCGAUUGGUUCCCGGGGUGAGGAAUGAGAGCCAGGUAGGGUAGGAAAGGACCCCAGCCAGUGUGUGCAGGUUCAGGAAAGGGAGGGCGUCGUGUGCAGCCCCUACUACCUGUGUUCUUUCCUGCUGCCAAUGCAUUGCAGAGUUGUGAGUGGAUCUUGGGGGUGCUCACACUUUAGGGAACCCAGCCCGAGGCACUAGUCUUAUUUUCUUGCAGCUGCGAAGAUUCCAAUUGAGGCUUUCAGAAAAUGUAGGUAAAUUUUUAAAAAUGCCUUUUGUAAAUGCGGUCCUGAAGGCACUGCUGAGUUUUCAGGGGACCGUGUCCAUGGUGGGGUAGAAUUCAGUCCCGGCGCUGCAAAAUAGAAAAUAUUGAUACGCGGAGUGUUCUAGUACCAGGUCUGUACUGCUGAGGGAGCUUCGAGGGGAGCCGAGCCUGGUCCGUCUUGGGAGUACAGUGUGAAGCGACAUCGUUGGACUAGGGCAGCGUGGGGAGGUGUGAUCGUCUGUGUGGUUUAUACUUGAGAGCAGAGCCUCCAUUAGUCCGAUUAGAACCAGCGAGGCUUUGAGAAUGGUACUGCCUAUUCAAGGGAGCAUCCAGGCACUCUUAGUUUGCAAUGUUACAAUGUUUCUCUCUCAGGACCGCAGGUCUGAGACUCCUUCUGAAACAGAAAGUUGUCCUCUAAAACGCAGUGAAUUGCUGGUAAUACUAAAAGACUUAGGGCUUCAGGUGGGGUUGGGGUUAAUGACUGAAAGCAAUGCUAAGUCUGAAGGGGUGGGUCCGUGGGGAACAAAGCUGCUUUCCAAGGGACGCAGGUGUUUUAGGACUUUCCCGAGGAAGAACCACAAAGCACCGGGCCUAUCUGUACACAGGCUUGAAGAAUCUAUGCAGCAGAGGCUCACUUUAGGAAUCCUUCCUUUGUAUGUAAAUAUGUUGUAAAUACAUAGGAGGCUGUAUAUUUUUGCAGGUGAAAUAGAGGUCACUAGUAUUCUGCAUAUAAGAAAUCCAUGUUCUCAGAUAUGUUAGUGGAUUUGUUUGGGAGGUAGAAGAAUUUUACCUUCUUUCCCAUAGUUCUGUCAAUGUAAAUCUGGAGUCUAAAACCUUAAUUGUUUGGGGGGAAAUAAAAAGAACUGUCUGGGGAAAAAACUACUCUGAUUCCUUAUGCUGGUACUACUAUCUGUUGUCUAAAUGCUACAGAUAAAGAUGAUUUAGGGGAAAAAAUCAUUGUCAUAUAGAAACAGACGUGCCCAAAAUAAGAAUUUUUCUCUGCAUUACGUUUUUUCACUGUUAACGUUGAUGCUAUUGCAUAGAGUUUGUGAAAAUCAAAGUUAGGGAGGGUUUGGUUUUGUUUUUUUUUUCCAAAAUGGAAUUGCUGUUUCCCAAACUUUGGGAUCCUUGAAGGGAGAGCUGAACAUUAAUAUGAGCACGUAUUUGAAGGAGAACAUGUGUUAUUUUUAAGCCUUUGAAGGUCUUGCAUGUCUGCCUUUUAGUGUUGAUGCCAACCUAGACUGUCUCGUCUGUUUCCCCCCUCCCCCACACACUUAAAUCAUACUCGUCGGUACGCAGUGCAGUCUCUAGAGUCCAGUGUGUCUUAGAUCCCCAUCUGACUCAGUACAUGUAGCACACCACUAUUUUACUAAUGUAAAAACCUUGUAAGUGAUUUCGGGUGGGCAUCCAAAGUGAACCACAGGUAACAAAACCUGCCCGUUCACUGUCCGUCACAUAAAGUUGGGUAUUUUUUUUUCCUUCAGGGUGUGGUAUAAAUAAAAAAAAAUGUAAGAAAUUAUGUUCUAUAAAUGCAGUGUUAACAUAGUUUUCAAACAUUAAAAUGUGAAUUAAAGUA